CAUGGUUUAGCCAGUCUGACCAAGCAAAAAGAAAUUCAGUUUGACCUCCCGAAACUAAGUGAGCUACUUUAGGACAGCCUAAUGAGCAAACCCGUCUCUGUUGCAAAAGAGUGGGAAGAUCUUAAAGUAGAAGUGAUAUACCUAACGAACUUAGCGAUAGCUGGUUAUUUAGGAAAAGAAUCUUAGUUCAACCUAAAGCUUUAUUAAUACCCCAAAAUAAAAUAAAAUUAACUUUAGAGCUAUUCAAAUAAGUCACAGCUUAUUUGAAAUAGGAUACAACCUUAACCUGUGGGUAAUUAACCACCAAACGAAACCAAGUAGGCCUAAAAGCAGCCACCUUUGAAAAAGCGUCAAAGCUUAAUUUUCAACACUUUUAUAAUUCCUUAAACUAUUAAAAACCCCUUAACAGUACUAAAUAAUCCUAUACCUCUAUAGGACUCCUUAUGCUAAAACUAGUAACAAGAAAACCUUCUCUUAUAUGUAAGUGUAAAUCAGAAUAGAAAUACUACUGAUACCUAAUAGCCUAGCCUAAAGUACUAAACUACUUAGAAAAAUCUACUAAUCUAGCUAUUAACCUAACACAAGAACAUAAAAAGAAAGAUUACAAGAAAAAGAAGGAACUCGGCAAACUUUGAUUCCGCCUGUUU
rnacentral:rRNA from 1 species